UCUCUCUCUCCUAACACACGUUCACUCCCUCUCUCUGCGUUCUCUCCCUACGGCCCCUCACUCUCUCUAUCGUCCGGCGAGUAUCGCCGGUUCUCGCCGCCUCCGGCGCCACUUCUUGCCCUUCCUCUCCUUCUCUUCUCUUCCCUAUUUUUUCCCUUAAUUCUAAAAUCCCCAAAUUCUAGGAUUUUCUGCCUCCAUUUUCCCCUCUGAAAUCCGCCCCUCUGGCGAGGCCCACUGCCGCCGCCAUCGCCGCCGUCUCUGCUUUCCCCCUCUUUUCCUUUCUAACUUCGCCCCCAUCCUCCUCCCUCGUCUGUCUCUCUCUGCCUCAGUCUCUCGCUCAUCUCCCUUUCUCCUUCUCAGUUGGCAGCCACAGCAGACCGCCGUGGCUCGGGCAGCGCCGGCGGUCGCUGCCACCAGUCGCGCCUCCGCGCCGUUGUGGCUCGCGGCUGCUGCUGCUAAUCCCCUCCUCCUUCAUCCUUUCCCUCUUCUCUAUUUUCCAUUUCAAAAUCCUAUUUUACAAACUUCCUAUCUAUUUUCUAUUUCGGGAAUUGAUGAUUCUAGGUGUCUCCUGCGUGGCAGCUUCGACUACUGCUCAAGAUCCUUUUUUUUUAAUAUGUUAUAAGUCUGUUUCCGCUUAUUGAGGAACUGAGACAGCGUUUGUAAAAUUAGAAUUAGAGAUAUGUUUAUAGUUAUUGUUCGUUCAUUACUGUUCUUGGUUGCUUUAACACAAAGAGAUAAUUGUAUUGAAUAAAAGAAAACUACCUUCUUUGAUGUGAAUGGAUGUGAACUAUUGUUGGGAUGUUGUGUAUGCUUGUUGCUAUUUAGAAUUUGCAGAAAAAUCCUCAGACGUGAGAGAUGAGAGAAUUUAUACUGA
rnacentral:lncRNA from 1 species